rnacentral:rRNA from 1 species
AGCAGUCGCCGCGGUAAUACGUAGGGUGCAAGCGUUAAUCGGAAUUACUGGGCGUAAAGCGUGCGCAGGCGGUUUUGUAAGACAGAGGUGAAAUCCCCGGGCUCAACCUGGGAACUGCCUUUGUGACUGCAAGGCUAGAGUACGGCAGAGGGGGAUGGAAUUCCGCGUGUAGCAGUGAAAUGCGUAGAUAUGCGGAGGAACACCGAUGGCGAAGGCAAUCCCCUGGGCCUGUACUGACACUGAGGUGCGAAAGCGUGGGGAGCAAACAGGAUUAGAUACCCGUGUAGUCCCUGUCUCUUAUAC